AUACGUAGGGGGCUAGCGUUAUCCGGAUUUACGUGGGCGUAAAGGGUGCGUAGGUGGUUUCUUAAGUCAGGAGUGAAAGGCUACGGCUUAACCGUAGUAAGCCCCUCUUGAAACUGGGAAACUUGAGUGCAGGAGAGGAAAGUGGAAUUCCUAGUGUAGCGGUGAAAUGCGUAGAUAUUAGGAGGAACACCAGUAGCGAAGGCGGCUUUCUGGACUGUAACUGACACUGAGGCACGAAAGCGUGGGGAGC
rnacentral:rRNA from 1 species